rnacentral:rRNA from 1 species
UACGAGGGGGGCAAAUGUUGUUCGGAAUCACUGGGCGUAAAGGGAGCGUAGGCGGCCUGAUAAGUAGGGGGUGAAAUCCUGUGGCUUAACUGCAGGGCUGCCUCCUAGACUGUUAGGCUCGAGCACGGUAGAGGCAGAUGGAAUUCCCGGUGUAGCGGUGGAAUGCGUAGAGAUCGGGAAGAACAUCGGUGGCGAAGGCGGUCUGACUGGGCCGUUGCUGACGCUGAGGCGCGACAG